GUUGUCGUUGCCGAGUGGUUAAGGCGACGGACUAGAAAUCUUCCCGCGCAGGUUCGAAUCCUGCCGACAACG